rnacentral:rRNA from 1 species
AUUGAACGCUAGCGGGAUGCUUUACACAUGCAAGUCGAACGGCGUGGCGACAGGGUGAGUAAUGUAUCGGAACGUGCCAAGUACCGGUGGAUAACUAUGCGACAGCGUAGCUAAUACCGCAUACUCUUGGAGCGGCCGAUAUCGUAUUAGCUCGUGGGUGGGGUAACGGCUCACCAAGGCGACGAGCCGUAGCUGGUUUGAGAGGACGACCAGCCACACUGGGACUGAGACACGGCCCAGACUCCUACGGGAGGCAGCAGUGGUGAAUUUUGGACAAUGGGGGCAACCCUGAUCCAGCCAUCCCGCGUGUGCGAUGAAGGCCUUCGGGUUGUAAAGCACUUUUGGCAGGAAAGCGGUACCUGCAGAAUAAGCACCGGCUAACUACGUGCCAGCAGCCGCGGUAAUUC